CAGGGUGUGGCGCAGCUUGGAAGCGCGUCUGUUUUGGGUACAGAAGGUCAUAGGUUCAAAUCCUAUCACCUUGA
rnacentral:tRNA from 1 species